rnacentral:rRNA from 1 species
GGCAUGAAGUUAGGUCAGCAAACCCGCUGAAUUUAAGCAUNNNNNNNNNNNNNNNNNNNNNNNNUAAAUAGGAUUCCCCUAGUAAUGGCGAAUGAACAGGGAACAGCUCAGAAUGGAAAUUGGGGUCUCCCGACCUUGAAUUGUAGUCUUGAGAGGUACUGCCAACGGAGGCGCAGAUGUAAGCCUCUUGGAAAAGAGCAUCAACGAGGGUGAGAGUCCCGUUUGUCAUCUGCAGUCCCCCGUGCACGGUGUACUUUCUAAGAGUCACGUUCCUCGGGAUUGGAGCGCAAAGUGGGUGGUAAAUUUCAUCUAAAGCUAAAUAUUGGUUCGAGACCGAUAGCAAACAAGUACCAUGAGGGAAAGGUGAAAAGGACUUUGAAAAGAGAGUUAAAAGUGCCUGAAAUUGCUGAAAGGGAAGCGAAUGGAACCAGUGUUCUUGAUGAGAUUGCUGCGUACUUUGGUGAUUGCUGGGUGUUCCACCGCAAGGGGGGCAUUUGGUUUUGAGCUAGAUGUGCGUGGUGUUUCUUGUCUUGUGUGUCACCGUCGGUGCUCAAGCGAGGAAAACUCUAGGGAACUGGUAGCUCGCCUCCGGGUGAGUGAAUGUCCUUGGUAGUACUCAUUUGUGUAUCGAUUUUUGCGUGUCUGGUUGCAGUGUUUGAGUCGCCAGGAUGUUUUUCUGAAGGGACUUGUCCUUGAUGAAAUCCGCCUUGGCGCCUUGAGCAUCUCCCUGACACAAAGACGAUGACUAAAUGGUUUUAUUCGACCCGUCUUG